rnacentral:rRNA from 1 species
UACGUAGGGGGCAAGCGUUGUCCGGAUUUAUUGGGCGUAAAGAGCGUGUAGGCGGUUUGGUAGGUCCGCUGUGAAAACUCGAGGCUCAACCUCGAGACGCCGGUGGAAACCAUCAGACUAGAGUCCGGAAGAGGAGAGUGGAAUUCCUGGUGUAGCGGUGAAAUGCGCAGAUAUCAGGAAGAACACCCGUGGCUAAGGCGGCUCUCUAGUACGGUACUGACGCUGAGGCGCGAAGGCGUGGGGAGCAAACAGG